CAGCACUGUACAUACAUGCUUGCACAGUUGUGUGUGGAAAUGAAUUAAUGGCAGAAGAUGCAGUUAUGCAGAUUUUGGGAGUGAUGGAGAGGGUCUGUGAUGGGGACAACGACUUGCUACUUCUAGCAGUAGUUGGCUGACUUCUGACAUUGUUUGUUCUGAAUGCAGUCGGAUUUCUUGGAACGUGACCAGAAGGAGGUGUAAUGAGUACCGGGAGACUGAGUCUUUGUUUUGCCAUAGAGAAUAGCACUGUGUUUAAAAUGGAAGUUGACAUAAAUGGAGAAUCCAGAACUACCAUAUCUACCCUUCCUGUACCUCUCGCAGAGGUCUUUCAAUAGUACCAGAGAAUCUGAAACAGAAAAUAAACAGCAUGAUCAAAUUUUAAACUCUGCCUGCUUGGAAGCUUUAGUAGUUUGGCAGUAGAGAAUGGCAUCAAGGCAACCCUACAGAAGAAUUAUGUAGGUCACAUUAGAAGACCUCAGGAAAGAAGACCGUCUGUCUGUGGAGAAAAAAUCCAGAAUCAGCUGACUUCAUUGAAGACGAAAGGUUCACAGCGAAGACCCUUCAGUCAGUGGGAAGUGACUGGGAGAUGUCUACAUGAAGAGCAAGGAGAGCGUGGAGCCCACAGCAGGUCGUAUCCGUCACUGAUGAAACUGCUAAACAGCUUUCAGCCUUAUGUUGGCAACACUAGAAAUCCUGAUUCCCUACUGGCAACUGCUUCUGCAGAGUGUAGCAUGAGAUACUUGGCUGCAAAUUUUAGAGAGGAAUCCAUAAAUCUUUAGAGAUAGGUAGAAGAUGGAAGAGUAGGAUAGUACAAAAUAUUUUGUAUUCUAAAUCCUGUAUUUCUCAUAUAUAUAUAUAUAUAUAUAUAUAUUACAAAAGAUUUUGUUUAAAUUGCCUAUAAUAGAAGGUGUUUGGUCAGUGUGAUAAAGAUAUUAGGAGAAAAACACUGUUUCAUCAGGAAGAAGUCACA
rnacentral:lncRNA from 1 species